CCUACGGGAGGCAGCAGUAGGGGAUAUUGCACAAUGGGGGAAACCCUGAUGCAGCGACGCCGCGUGGGUGAAGGAGUGCUUCGGCUUGUAAAGCCCUAUCGGCAGGGAAGAUGAAGACCGGUACCUAACUAUGAGCACCCGGCUAACUACGUCCCAGCAGCCGCGUUAAUCCGUGGGGGGCGAGCGUUCUCCGGAUUCACUGGGUGUAAAGGGAGCGUAGACGGCCAUGCAAGCAAGGGGUGAAAGCCCGGGGACCAACGCCGGGACUGCCCUUGGAACUGCAUGGCUGGAGUGCGGGAGGGGUAGGCGGAAUUCCUGGUGUAGCGGUGAAAUGCGUAGAGAUCAGGAGGAACACCGGCGGCGAAGGCGGCCUGCUGGACCGCGACUGACGUUGAGGCUCGAAAGCGUGGGGAGCGAACAGGAUUAGAUACCCUAGUAGUC
rnacentral:rRNA from 1 species